rnacentral:rRNA from 1 species
AUAAACGCUGGCGGCGCACAUAAGACAUGCAAGUCGAACGGAAGUCGUUAUACUGAUUUGAAAGAACGGAGAACUUGUCAAAGGGACGUGAUGAAGAUUAUAACAAUGGCUUUAGUGGCGGACUGGUGAGUAAUACGUAAGCAACCUGCCUAUUAGAGGGGAACAACAGUUAGAAAUGACUGCUAAUACCGCAUAUGCCAUAGUAGCCACAUGGUUACAGUGGGAAAGGAGUAAUCCGCUAAUAGAUGGGCUUACGGCUGAUUAGCUAGUUGGUGGGGUAACGGCCUACCAAGGCGACGAUCAGUAGCCGGACUGAGAGGUUCAACGGCCACAUUGGGACUGAGAUACGGCCCAGACUCCUACGGGAGGCAGCAGUCGGGAAUUUUGCGCAAUGGAGGAAACUCUGACGCAGUGACGCCGCGUGCAGGAAGAAGGUUUUCGGAUUGUAAACUGCUUUAGACAGGGAAGAAAAAGGACAGUACCUGUAGAAUAAGCUCCGGCUAACUACGUGCCAGCAGCAGC